AGUCCUGUGGUAUCUUACGCCAAAAUGCAAAUUUGGAGAAGCACCCCAAAAGUGCCGGGACUU
rnacentral:tRNA from 1 species